GCCCGGGUGGCGGAAUUGGCAGACGCGCAUGGUUGAGGGCCAUGUGCCCGUAAGGGCGUGCUGGUUCGACUCCAGUCCCGGGCA
rnacentral:tRNA from 1 species